rnacentral:rRNA from 1 species
UACGUAGGGUGCAAGCGUUAUCCGGAAUUAUUGGGCGUAAAGAGCUCGUAGGCGGUUUGUCGCGUCUGCUGUGAAAACUGGAGGCUCAACCUCCAGCCUGCAGUGGGUACGGGCAGACUAGAGUGCGGUAGGGGAGAUUGGAAUUCCUGGUGUAGCGGUGGAAUGCGCAGAUAUCAGGAGGAACACCGAUGGCGAAGGCAGAUCUCUGGGCCGUAACUGUCGCUGAGGAGCGAAAGCGUGGGGAGCAAACAGG